rnacentral:misc_RNA from 1 species
GAUGAAGAACGCAGCGAAAUGCGAUAAGUAGUGUGAAUUGCAGAUUUCAGUGAAUCAUCGAAUCUUUGAACGCACAUUGCGCCCUUUGGUAUUCCUUAGGGCAUGCCUGUUCGAGCGUCAUUUAAACCUUCAAGCUCAGCUUGGUGAUGGGUGACUGUCCGCUGCCUCCCCCCGGGGUGCGCCGCGGACUCGCCUCAAAUUUAUUGGCGGCCGGUACGUUGGCUUCGAGCGCAGCAGAAACGCGUAACUCGAGGUCUCCGUGGCGGCUCCCACAAGCAACCUUCAUUAUUUUGACCUCGGAUCAGGUAGGGAUACCCGCUGAACUUAAGCAUAUCAAUAAGCGGAGGA